CCUACGGGGGGCAGCAGUGGGGAAUAUUGGACAAUGGGGGCAACCCUGAUCCAGCCGUGCCGCGUGUGUGAAGAAGGCCCUCGGGUUGUAAAGCACUUUCAGUGAGGAAGAACGCCUGGUGGUUAAUACCCAUCAGGAAAGACAUCACUCACAGAAGAAGCACCGGCUAACUCCGUGCCAGCAGCCGCGGUAAUACGGAGGGUGCGAGCGUUAAUCGGAAUUACUGGGCGUAAAGCGCGCGUAGGUGGCUUGAUAAGCCGGUUGUGAAAGCCCCGGGCUCAACCUGGGAACGGCAUCCGGAACUGUCAAGCUAGAGUGCAGGAGAGGAAGGUAGAAUUCCCGGUGUAGCGGUGAAAUGCGUAGAGAUCGGGAGGAAUACCAGUGGCGAAGGCGGCCUUCUGGACUGACACUGACAAUGAGGUGCGAAAGCGUGGGUAGCAAACAGGAUUAGAUAGCCGAGUAGUC
rnacentral:rRNA from 1 species